rnacentral:pre_miRNA from 1 species
UUUUCCUCUUUCGGAUCAACUUGAUCCGGAAGAGACUUACGGAUCAACUUACGGAUCAAGCUGAUCCGGAAGUGGAAAA